GGCCUAUAGGAUUGGGAAUCUAGUGGGCUCUCAGGAAAUGCUUAUAGGAAAAAAAAGGAGAAAAAGAGUGAAGGAAAAAAAGAAGGAGGAAUGGUGGAGGUUAGGAGGAUGAGCUUUUAUCUGUUAGAAAAGAACAGUAUGAUGGUUAAUUUCAUGUCAACUUGGUUAGGCUUCGGUACCUAGAUGUUUGGUCAAACAUUACUCCAGAUGUUCCUAUGAAGGCAUUUUUAGAGAUGAGAUUAGCAUUUAAAUCAGUAGACUGUGAGUAAAACAGAUUACCUGCCACAAUGUGGGUGGGCCUCAUCAAAUCAGUUGAAGGUCUUAAUUAAAAAAGACCAACCACCACCUAGUGAGAGAGAAUUCUGACAAGAGGCUGCCUUUGGAGUCGAACUGCAGUGUCAACUCUCCGGGGUCUCUCCUCCUGUUGUACUGCCUUUUCUCUCCCAGCCUGCACCCAUGCCCUCAUGGACAGUUCCGUGUGAUCACCUGGAAGAAGAGAACACAUGUGUCUUGUGUACAACAGUUCUGCGUGAUACGUAGCCACUCCUCAAAAGUGGACAGCUGCAACACUGCAGCGCCUUUCUGGAACAUCUGUGAAGGGCAGCGGUGACAUGAAAUACUCUCAGGGGGCAGAACUUGGAGCAAUGUACCUGAUUGGUCAUUUGCUUGGAAGGAGAAAUGUCCAGACAUGCAAUUAGAUAUGGAUUCAUGGUCUGUGGCCAUGUGAGGUCUGUGGUUUGACUUGGAGGGGUUAUGAUUGGAAAAUUGGUGAAAAUUGUCUCUGGGGAAGAAGUAUGUGGACAGACCACUCUGAAUAGGUAAAAAAUGUUAGAAUGUCUAUGUCCCCUAUGAGUGCUCACCAAAAGGGGACCCUCGCAAGAAUUUUAAUUAUAGAGUGGGUAGGACAGCCAGCUCUGUGGAUACUAUUCAGUCUCUUUCUUCAAGCCAGUCCUGUCAUUGACCAAUGGGUUCAUGAACAAAAUGGCUGGGAUGGCAGGGAUGGACAUCAUGCACGGGUUCAGCAACAAGGACUUUCAGUCACCAAGGUCAGGCUGGCUGUAGCCACUGCUAAGUGUCCAGUCUUCUGGCAGCAGAGACCAACACUGAGCCCCUGGUAUAGCAUCACACCCAAGGUCAUUAACCAGAUACCUGGUUGAUUAUGUUGGGCUGCUUCCAUCAUGGAAGGGGCAGUAGUCUUCUGUCUACAGCAAUGACUCCACUGAACUGGAAGUUAGGACUGCCAUCCAGACAUUUUGGCCUCCUCCUGCUUCUGAUCAACAGGCAAAGGAGUCCUAUGCUGAAUGGAGUGAUUAUUCCUGGUUACCAAGGGGAAAUUGGCCUGCCGCCCCACAGUGUAGAACCCAAUGGCUCCUUCUCAGAUGAACUCAUUUACUGGCUUGACACAGCCCAGCUUGGCCUGAAUUCCCUGGCUUCCGGACGCUUGGCCCAGCUGACUACCAACAACUGUGGAGCUUCCAUCCUUGGCUUGCAGACCUGAAAACAGCCAGAAAUGCCAUUUAAGCCCUUGGCAUCUCAGAAGCAAAGGGAUGGUCUCAAGCCUAAGAAUGUCUGCUUAAAUAGGAUCCCAUCUACUAACAACUUCCUGAGAAGCCAUUGGGCUUCCCUCUUCCUUUGAGGCAGAAGUUGGCAUGCAGGAGGUUGGUCUUGAGAUGAACACCUGAGGGAGAAAGAGAAGAUAGAAGAUUGGGAAGAAGAGAAGCUGAGCUACAGCACUCCAAGGCGUCAGUUAACCCUGCCGGGAGCUCUGGAGUGGCAAUGGCCCUUCAGAGUUGUUCUGCAUUGGGGCCUUGGGGUUGGGCUUCUGUACCAUGGUGACGAACUGUUGGUUGUGGAUGCCUUGGCAAAGGAGCAUGACCUUGGGUGAGAUUCUCUUCAGCCUCUGUUGUUCAAUCAGGGCAUCGUGGCAAGCAGCCAGCACAAACAGCAGAUCAGUUUGGGAGGCGUGUCAUUGACCAUCGUUAUGCUCUGUGGAGACACAAGUCUUGAGUUGGCCAUUAGAGGCGGCCUCUUUUACCCAAGUGGUCCCAUCUUUCUUUGCUGUGCUCAUAGGUGCUAAUCUUUCAAUCUUGAGCCCAAAAUACUUAGCCCCAUUGAGUUCAUGGCUUAUGGAGUAAUUUAUAUGCCCAAAUACAAGGCGAUGUG